GACGAACGCUGGCGGCGUGCCUAAUACAUGCAAGUAGAACGCUGAAGGAGGAGCUUGCUUCUCUGGAUGAGUUGCGAACGGGUGAGUAACGCGUAGGUAACCUGCCUGGUAGCGGGGGAUAACUAUUGGAAACGAUAGCUAAUACCGCAUAAGAGUAGAUGUUGCAUGACAUUUGCUUAAAAGGUGCAAUUGCAUCACUACCAGAUGGACCUGCGUUGUAUUAGCUAGUUGGUGGGGUAACGGCUUACCAAGGCGACGAUACAUAGCCGACCUGAGAGGGUGAUCGGCCACACUGGGACUGAGACACGGCCCAGACUCCUACGGGAGGCAGCAGUAGGGAAUCUUCGGCAAUGGACGGAAGUCUGACCGAGCAACGCCGCGUGAGUGAAGAAGGGUUUCGGAUCGUAAAGCUCUGUUGUAAGAGAAGAACGAGUGUGAGAGUGGAAAGUUCACACUGUGACGGUAUCUUACCAGAAAGGGACGGCUAACUACGUG
rnacentral:rRNA from 1 species